rnacentral:rRNA from 1 species
UGGGGAAUUUUGGACAAUGGGCGAAAGCCUGAUCCAGCAAUGCCGCGUGUGUGAGGAAGGCCUUCGGGUUGUAAAGCACUUUUGUCCGGAAAGAAAUCCUUGGCUCUAAUACAGUCGGGGGAUGACGGUACCGGAAGAAUAAGCACCGGCUAACUACGUGCCAGCAGCCGCGGUAAUACGUAGGGUGCAAGCGUUAAUCGGAAUUACUGGGCGUAAAGCGUGCGCAGGCGGUUUGCUAAGACCGAUGUGAAAUCCCCGGGCUCAACCUGGGAACUGCAUUGGUGACUGGCAGGCUAGAGUAUGGCAGAGGGGGGUAGAAUUCCACGUGUAGCAGUGAAACGCGUAGAGAUGUGGAGGAAUACCGAUGGCGAAGGCAGCCCCCGUGGGCCAAUACUGACGCUCAUGCACGAAAGCGUGGGGAGCAAACAGGAUUAGAUACCCUGGUAGUCCACGCCCUAAACGAUGCCAACUAGUUGUUGGGGAUUCAUUUCCUUAGUAACGUAGCUAACGCGUGAAGUUGACCGCCUGGGGAGUACGGGUCGCAAGAUUAAAACUCAAAGGAAUUGACGGGGUCAUA